CCUACGGGGGGCAGCAGUGAGGAAUAUUGGUCAAUGGGCGGAAGCCUGAACCAGCCAAGUAGCGUGCAGGAUGAAGGCCCUACGGGUCGUAAACCGCUUUUGCACGGGGAUAACACCCUCCACUUGUGGAGGUCUGCAGGUACCGUGCGAAUAAGGGCCGGCUAAUUCCGUGCCAGCAGCCGCGGUAAUACGGAAGGCCCGAGCGUUAUCCGGAUUCAUUGGGCUUAAGGGGAGCGUAGGCGGGCGUUCAAGUCAGCUGUAAAAUCGCGCGGCUCAACCGCGCCCCGCAGUUGAAACUGGACGCAUUGAGUUCACAACAGGCAGGCGGAAUUCGUGGUGUAGCGGUGAAAUGCAUAGAUAUCACGAGGAACCCCGAUUGCGAAGGCAGCCUGCCGGGGUGCGACUGACGCUGAGGCUCGAAGGUGCGGGUAUCAAACAGGAUUAGAUACCCCUGUAGUC
rnacentral:rRNA from 1 species